GAGCUCUGUGGGCCCCAGGUGCCCCGGGAAAACUUGGGGGAGAAUGGGCAUCCCACCCCAGCACUUUCUAGGAAGAAGGGCAGCAUUUUGAAGGGCUGGAAGUAGAGGAAGGAGGUUGCGGGUAGAAGACUCCAUACUUUCUGUGACGCCUAUUCCUUAGGUAGGAACUUAGGAACCUCAGUCAGAGGCAUGGCUUGCCUGGGCCUCUGGGUGCAGCUGCACAGAUUCAAGCAGCCUGAAGGAAAGGUGACUGACAGCUAAUGAUCUGAAAAGAACUUGUCUCAACUCAACGUCAUUCCUGGCAUUAUCGAACAAAGCAAUAAACCUCACAGAAUGGAAGCUACAGUGUCCAGGGCCAGCUCUGCUAAGGUAACCAAAGACAGAGAAGGAGGCAAAAGUGACAGAAGAAACUCAUGGGAAACCAACAGAAAUAUAAUGGCUUUGGCAGAAAUGCAAUUAUCAAUUGGGAGCUUGUGAUGAAUGUUUUCUCAGUAUCCUAUGCUGAAAACAGGUAGAUACUAAUAUCGAUCUUCAAGGGAGGGCUGUUGAGUAUUGAAUAAGACAAAAACAUGGAAGCAAUCAGCACCAUGCUGGAAUCAAGGCUAUCUGUAAUCACAGGGCUAUUUGAAAAAGAGAAGAAAAGGUGUCUUGAAAUUCAACCAACAUGUUUCAAUUAUUUGCUCCUAAGAACAACAGAAGUUUCAACAUUCUGCCAACAGAGUAACUCCUGGAAGAUUGGCACAGAAGAAGGCAC
rnacentral:lncRNA from 1 species